rnacentral:rRNA from 1 species
CGGACGGGUGAGUAAUGCUUGGGAAUCUAGCUUAUGGGGGGGGAUAACUACGGGAAACUGUAGCUAAUACCGCGUAAUAUCGGAAGAUUAAAGUGUGGGACCUUCGGGCCACAUGCCAUAGGAUGAGCCCAAGUGGGAUUAGGUAGUUGGUGAGGUAAAGGCUCACCAAGCCGACGAUCUCUAGCUGGUCUGAGAGGAUGACCAGCCACACUGGGACUGAGACACGGCCCAG